rnacentral:lncRNA from 1 species
AGUAGCAUGGAUAGUUGAUGGCAAAUUUGGAGCAGACGACUUCUGUUUAACUUAAAAUUAGUCGUAUUUUAAUGGCUUGGGAUUUGGUGCAAACAAACAUGAUUGAUAGCUGGACAGACAUGCUCGUCAUGAAAAAAAAAAAAAAAGAACCAUUUUGAAGCCCGAUUGGGGCCAAACAUUUACACCUUGCUUCCUAGUAACCAGUUGAUGAAGCGCGUCUAGAACGUUGUUGGACACCAUGUUGAAUUAUUCCCCAUCGGUUGUGAAGAACUGUGCUACAUUCAGGCUUACCCAUUGAACUCAGUAUAUAUAUUUUUUCCCUCCUGCCUUUUGUCUGGUGGGACACCAUUCUUGUUGCUCUUCUGUGUAAUGAAGUUCAAAUGCUUGUUUGGAAACUUUAUUUAACAGUUUAGAAGGCUUGAUAGGAAGAGGUCAUUAGUCUGAAGAGUAUACAUUGGACAGGAAAGAAUUUCCUUUCGUUUCUCCAAAUCUUUCCGCCUUAUUUAGCGUGAGAUCUUUGCAGCUUGGUUCAUGGAUUCUAGCCUUGCCCGUUGCGCAGUAUAUGCUGAUCAGAUGAUAAACCAGUGAACUAUGUCAAAAGCACUCUCAAUAUUACAUUUGACAAAAAGUUUUGUACUUUUCACAUAGUUGUUGCCCCGUAAAAGGGUUAACAGCACAAUUUUUUAAAAAUAAAUUAAGAAGUAUUUAUAGGAUUAAAGUGACUUCAUUUGUAUACAUUUGGAAUCUAAACCAGCUUAAAAACAGUGUCCUCUGUGACUGAGAUAUGCAGUGUAACUGAUGCUCUUCUGGAGUGCCACGUGAGACAUGGCAUGGUCAGAAACAGUGUUCAGAAGGACACGGCACAGGAAAGCCAGAGAGAUACUUUCCCCUUUUUAUUUUAUUCCUGAAGGGACAUCAGUACCUGAUACUGAAGAAAUUCAAGAUUCAAAAGGAAAAUUUUAUAAAUAAACCAGUACAGAAGAUCAGCAUCAGUCUAGGUUUUCAAGAAAGCUUGUUCCAAGUUCUCUGAACUUGAGGGAAUCGUUUUGAUGUGAUCUAGCAGAAGUAGACAUCAGAAGAUAGACCUACUUUGGGAAUUUAUAGUGUAGUUAAAUCUUAGAGGAAGUCAGCAGGCUACAAACAUUUAUGUAAACUGGAAUUAAAGCCUGAGUCAUUUCUCCUAAUUGCCCUUAAUGUCCAACAUAUAGGGACACUCAUUUAAAGAAGAUUCCUUCUCAGCUUCUCAGAUGUUGCCAUAAUGAACCUCAUUCAAACUGGUGCUGUGGACAGUCUUUCCCUCUCCCUCCCCUUUUAGUUUACGGGAAUGUUUCCUUUAUGGAAAAAAAGUGACUUGUCAUUUUGAAGACCCUAUAUCUAACAUAAGCCUGAUUGAUGUUCAUGGUGUUUUCAACUCCAUAAUUGCUGGGUCUAACCAGUCUCCCUUGAAAUCCAUGUUUUCCAAUAGGAGAUAACCAGGGUGACCACAGCUCUUGGAAGGAAAAGUGGAAUUAACUCCAAUGUAUCCUGAUGAACAACAACAACAAAAAUCUGGUACAACUUGCCCUUGAGGCCAAGCCAAGUCCAUAGCAUUCACCAUGAUCAUAUGCCCCUCGGGAUCCUGAGAGAAGAGAGAGGCUUGUACUGAGGGGUCUUCCCAUUGUGGGGGUCGCAGGGAGGGAAAAGCCAGGAAGGCAGUGGUCAUUCUCCCAAAGUCCACCCAUCGUAAGGAGGUGACAGAUCGGAGUCAGCAGAUUAGUAAUUCAAAUGGGUAAUGGAAAAGAUUCCUUUAAGCUUCAUUUUUCAGAGACCAUCACUUUAGAAAAUCAGAGAAAUCCUGUUUUGAUACUUCUUAGUUAAAAUAAUAUGUUACCGUUUAUCUGGUACUUCAUUUUCUUGACUAAAAUUACUUUUCACUUUAAGCUUGAAUAAAAAUUUUCAUUCAUAACUGUAUAUAAUUAAGUGGCAACUCCUCUUUACCUCAGUGCAGUUAAGACCAUCUUUUGAUUGAUAUACCCUGAAGCCAUUAAUCCAUACACCUCAGUCUACAGUAACAAUCCCUAACACCAUGUGGGCACAGAACUCCACAGCUGUUUACAGAUGUGGUUACAGUGUACCACGUGGCAUGUGCAUGAUGCUCCCUGAGGGCUGUACCCAUCAGGGCAGUUUUGUAUCCAGCUGCACCUAGACCCGCCUGUUCACUGCUUCUGAAGUACAUUUAAAAACACUGGGAGGUAAGAGCGUGCCCCGAAGGUGAGGGCCAUGACCAGAACAUAACUCCUGUUAGAGUGGAGUUACAACUAUGCAAAGGUGUUGAUAGUAGCUAGGUGAGUUCGGUUUCCAAGUCUGUCUUAACUGGCCGCUCCCUCUCUAGACUGGUACUUGACUGUGCCAAUUUGCUGUAAGCAUCUGUUUCGUAUAUUUGCCAUGAAGUGAGUGUGGUAGAAAGGUGAAGAAAGCUAGGGUUUAUGGUGGAAGAACCUGGUGACAGGAUUACGUGAAAAUCUCUGACAUUGUGAUAAACUCGAUAAAGGCUUAAGAGAAUUCUGUCAAGCCUGCCACAAGAUGCUAACCAAUGUAUAAACUGAAAAGUACCAAUACUUUUUGCACAUAGAUCAAAAUAGUGGAGAAUUUUGGCUCCAAAAAUCAGGUUAGUAGGCUCAAUUCCAUGUGCUUAAAAUGUUUCUGUUGUUAAUGCAUCGAUUAAGGGCUAGAGUAAGAAUGGAAUUAAAUGUCUUUUUCCUCU